ensembl:snoRNA
AUCCUUUCAUAAGCUUGAAGAUUGGGGUUUCACGCUCAUGCGUGAGAUGUCCCUCUCUCAAACCUUGCUAUGAAGUCAGCACCAUUGGGCCCAUUACUUGUCUGACA